rnacentral:rRNA from 1 species
CUGGCGGCACGCCUAACACAUGCAAGUCGAGCGAGGUAGCAAUACCUAGCGGCAGACGGGUGAGUAACAUGUGGGGAAUCUGCCUUUUUGGUUCGGAACAACACGGGGGAAACCUGUGCUAAUACCGGAUAAGUCCUAAACGGAGAAAGUUUUUAAUGCCAAAAGAUGAGCCCGCACUUGAUUAGCUAGUUGGUAAGGUAAUGGCUUACCAAGGCAACGAUCAAUAGCUGUUCUUAGAGGAAGACCCAGCCACAUUGGGGACUGAGACACGGCCCCAAACUCC